rnacentral:lncRNA from 1 species
AACAUACUUUCAAUUAAUUUCGUGGGUGUGUGUAGGCCAUUUGUUAUGACAUUCCAUAACUCAUAGUUUUGUGAUUGAGUAAAGAUUUUCAUUCUAGCUUUCCAUUGAAUAUAGUUAGAUCUAUCAAACAGUGGAGGUCUGUUUGUGGAAAGUCCCUCAGCAAGUAAUACGUUAUGUGGGGUUGUCAUGAUCUUUGGCUCUAGUCGGUUAAGACUACAAAUAAUAUUUGAGCACCUGCUCUGAUACCACUUGUUGCCUAAGGUGACAACCCAAGAGGGGGGGUGAAUUGGGUCUUUUAAAAACUUUUAAACUACUUCUAAUCUUUUAGAGUUAAUUAAGCUAAGUUGUAUGGAUGCUUAGUUAAAUUUAAAUUUAGCAAGAGUAUGAUUCUAAUCUAAUCAACUAUUAAGCAGCGGAUUCAAUAAAAGAUUAGUCUAGGUUUGCCCAAGUAUGCAAUUCAAUUGAAUGAGACUUGAUUAAGUAAAUUGAAUAUGCUUGCAACUAAAGGAUGCACGAAGAAGAGCUAAGCAGGCAAUUUAUCUAGGUAAGUAAGUGAGCAAGAUAGACAAUGACAAAAAGCAUCACAAACACAACAAACAUAUAGUGGUUCGGUGCACCCCAGCACCUACAUCCACUCCCCAAGACCUCUUGGGAAUUUCACUAUAAUCCUACAGAUUACAGCCGGUUGUUUUACAAGCUCACAACCCAACUUGUUGUUUUGCGAGAUAACAACGAACUCGGUCGGUU